rnacentral:rRNA from 1 species
AUACGUAGGGGGCGAGCGUUGUCCGGAAUGACUGGGCGUAAAGGGCGUGUAGGCGGCCGAUUAAGUCUGGAGUGAAAGUCCUGCUUUCAAGGUGGGAAUUGCUUUGGAGACUGGUUGGCUUGAGUGCGGAAGAGGUAAGUGGAAUUCCCAGUGUAGCGGUGAAAUGCGUAGAGAUUGGGAGGAACACCAGUGGCGAAGGCGACUUACUGGGCCGUAACUGACGCUGAGGCGCGAAAGCGUGGGGAGCGAACAGGAUUAGAUGCCCUGGUAGUCCACGCGGUAAACGAUGAAUGCUAGGUGUAGGGGGUAUCGACCCCUCCUGUGCCGGAGUGAACACAAUAAGCAUUCCGCCUGGGGAGUACGGCCGCAAGGUUGAAACUCAAAUGAAUUGACGGGG